CGCCUCUCCCUGCUCCCCAAGCUUGGAAGCUGCGCCGCCCCCUGUGUCCCAGCGUGGCAUGGGGGCGUCAGGAUGCCAGCAUUGCCUGCUUCCGGUUCCUCUCCUCUGAAGACCACAGGACGCCCGCUGGCCUCUUCCUUGUCCUCUGUAUCUCUGUUCUACCCGCAGCAGUAAGACACCAAUUGCCAAGUAUGCAUUACGUCUAUCUUAUAUUAUACAAUCUCCUGAAUUAUAUUACUUGGUUAUUUAAAGACCACCUUUACAGAAACAAGUGGCCAAAGAUGAAACUGAGAGACGAGGCUAAGAAAGGAAAGGGAAAUGAACUGGAAGAUCCACAAACCAGUGGUGAUUGCUGCGUUUCUGCGUCUCUCCUCUGUUCUCUUCACCUGGCAGCACUGUGUCUUGCACUUUUGGGAGCCGCUACGCUGUCUCCCUCCAUCCCUGCUUCCACCAGUUGAUAGACUGUCUCCUAACGUGCGUGGACUUUGAUCUGCACUUUGACCCUCCUACGUUUGCUCACCUCUGCCCAUCUUAUGCCCGCCCCAGGUGACCAAGUUUAGCCCACAGGAGACAGCAGCCCUGCUGAGAAAAGAGCUUCUGGGCCAGCUUUUCACUGGGAAGAUGCGUCUCACAGGGCGGACCGAGGCAUUCUGAGCACUAAGGAGAGCACUUCCUGUUGCAAAUGGAAUCACAUGGAUUAGGUUUGUCUGUGUGUCUCACUGGGGUUUACUCUGUGGAUUGGCUGUUGGGAAGAAAUGCAUUUGAAGGAGAGUAACAGCGUUACUGCCUCGAGGCAGAAGAGAGGCUCUGUGAGUGCUCCUUUUAAUGUUCCAGUUACCCGCAAGGACUGCUCCUCAGUCGGUUGCGCCUUCUCCCUCAGCCACUGCAGCUGGCUGCAUUGGGUCAGCGGAACUGCCUGCUGCAAGACAGCGACACGACACUGGUUUGCAAGUGGCUCCUGAGAAGAAGCCAAGAGAGCGAGAGCAGUGUGGUUUCAUGUAAACGUGCAUCCUUCUGCAAAACGUCAGGCAAUAACUGUGAGGUCGGAGCUAGCACCGGCAAUUUGCGGUCCCUGCACAUAGAGCAGCCCACUGUGGGGCCAGAACACGCGCUGGUGCUGACUCACGCUCAGGUCAGCGCACAAGGGCGACGUCCAGCAAGGAAGGGGUCAACGUCGCGCUCUGCUUCUGAUGUACAUUUGUCUGAGAGGCCAUAAGAUAACAAAAAAUAUUAUAUUAAAAAC
rnacentral:lncRNA from 1 species